rnacentral:misc_RNA from 1 species
UAGUAAUAAUUGGAUAAAUCAUUUCUUGCUUUUACAUUAAUAAACAAAAUAUUUAUAUGUAUAGAAAGAAAAGUUACCACUGGCAAGUCACUACCGAAUCCAUUCCAGCCUGUUUCCACACCCUAUGGGGCAAUUGGGCAACCGAGAAGUCCAGGACCCAGUCCUUGCCUACCCACAUUCAAAGCGUAGCUGUCCCUCAAUUCCAUGAAUAGAUACAAAAAAUUAAUUAAAGGGAAUUCAAAAUGUAAAAUUCAUCAUCUUGAUCGGCUGCUCAUAUCAUCAAUCAAUCAAUCAUAGGUGCAAGAAUUCUUGAGCGAGAUUGGGACAUUGAGCUUCUUUGCAUCAAAAGUAACAUCACAUUCGAUUCUUUUGUUGAAUUUUGGCUUAACCAGUUUUCCCAAAACGUAAGCUCUUGAUCUCACAGUGAAGUUCAAUUUUAGAGGCACAGGUAGUGUGGUUGUCCCCGUUGAACUGCUCAGCUCUGCUCCACUUCCAUACAGAGGGAUUUUAUUGCUCAUUACAGAUAUUGCCACCGAUCUUUGGCUCUUUCUUGAUUGGUAAAACUUCUUCAAGUUUCCUGAGGCUAUGGUGAUCUCAGAAUAGGAUAGAUCUACAGGUGUGGAUGUUACAUGGACUCCGAAAAAUGUUCCUGUGUUACGAUAAAUCAUCUUCACUGUGGAGUUGACUGAGAUCAUAUCAGUUGCGACUCCUGUGGAAUCUGAGCCCGCUUGAAUGGUGAAAUGUUCAAAUGUUAUACUCUUCAUUGUGAUCUUGGGCUUCUGUGGCUUGCUGGCACCCCAAAGAAUUAAAGAGAACAUAGAGAAGAGAACGAAGAAACCUAGAACAAAAGCAAGAAUAUAGCAGCGACGAGGAAUACCCCUUUCACGCUCUUCAUCUUCAAGAAGCCCUUCUUCUUCAAUCACCGCACACUCCUUCCAUUGCUUCUGUCCCUUUUUCUGACCACUCCUAGAUCCAUCGUUGGGAGAGAUCUUACGCGAUCCGGGUUUCAAAGACCCAGAAAACCUGCUAGAGGAGGACUCACGUGAGUGGCGGCCAAUGGAGGAGUGAGAAUGAGGUGGAGAUCCCAUGGGGCUAAGCACCGGCGUGGAGUGGAACGACGUGGCUGUUUUCUCUCCAUCGUGAGAAUCCCGUGAUGGGCUCUGUACAUAGUAGACUGGACGGCGUGGAGAUCUUGUGGGAGAAGAUGGGGCGAGACUGGUGACUUCGGAGUCUGUCUUGGCAUGCAUUUUACAGGUGUUUGUGAAAAUUCCUAAAUGAAACGCAAAGGCACAGCCACUAGAGUCUUAAAUCAGCUGUCAAACACCUAAAUUGUGAUAAAAAGAUAAAAGUUAUUGGAUUCUCUGAGAGGGUUUCGCAGUUUGCUUGGAGAGGGCGAUGGAGGAUUGUGAAAAUGAGAGUUGGGUUUG